UAUGCAGUGCAAUUUCAAUUGUUGAAGGUGUGCGUGUGCAUGUGUGUAUGUGUAUGUACGUCUCUGUAUUGUGUAUGCCGAACUGAACGCGCCUUGUAGUUGAUGUCGCGCAACCAGUUUUUUUUACGUACAUAUUCAACAAGUUUCUGCUAAAAACGACGGCGAAUGCAUGUUUCUGUGUGUGUGAGUGUGCGAGUGUCAGAGUGUUUAGUAUGCGUGUGUGUGUGUUGUAUAGCUGAGCGAAAUUUGAUUUUUAGCAAAUGAAAUUAGUUGCAGCAAACGGAAACCAAAAACAGACGCAAUACAAAAAUAAUUACAAUAAUAACAACAUUAAUAAUAUUAAUUUUAAUACAAAUCUAAAUACUAAUGAGCCGCAGACAGCGAAUACUAAUAAAAAGAAAUAUUACAACAACAAUUAUAA